UUUUAUCGAUUUAAAUGUGAGAUCGGUAUCUUAUUAGUCUCUAGAUGGUUUCAAAAUCUUUCUAAAACGAAUGGUUGCGUUUUUUAGUUUUUUCACAGAAAGGCGGCGCGCUCAUGUGAGUACGACAACUGCAGAAUAUGACUUUGACAUCAGGAAAGAUAACCUUGCCUCCUCAGUUUGUUUAUAGUCGAGGCGAGGUUGAAAGGUAUCGCUCUGCUUCCAGCCCUUCUUCUAUGAAAAGUUGUGAUUUAUGCCGUGUGAAUUAAGAAUUCGAUGUAUUGAGGUUCUUUGAAUUAGUUUCAUGUAUGUUCGGUGAUUUUUGCACUGAGAGCUUGCCGGUAGCGAUUGUGCCGCAGAUACCAGUGGAAUUGCAUUGCAACUAUUAAUCCUCGUGAUUGAAACUAGUGUUGUAUGCCCCAAGAAUAUAACAUUAUCAUUAUCUUUGGAAUCAACAACUGACAACCUCCGCAGAUCUGAGUAACGGGAGAAGACGCAGGGCUGUAGAUUCCCACGGCCACGAGAUGUUCACCAAGGCCUUGAGAGUUCAUAAGGAUUUUAUGUGACAAAGAGCUCCACAUGCUUCCAGGGGCGUCGUAGGUGAGUUCUCCGGAG